ACUACUACCUGGCUUAAGAACCUAUCUCAAAACAAUAACAACAAAAAAAAAAAUACAAUUCCUUUUCCCUCAAGCCUGCUCAUUUUAUCUCAGCCAAAGUGCCACAUUCUUUUUAAAAAUUGAUAUGACAUGAAGAUAUAGCAUGUAUAGUAAAUAAAUGUGUGUGUGUGUGUGUGUGUACACACGCGUGCUCGUGCAUAAUUUUCACUUGUUUCUGGCACAGGACUUCAAAAGCCCUUUGAACUCCCAGGGAGAUGCAUCUUUCCUAUGAUGCUAGAGUGACUCAUCUUUGAGCCCACGACAACCUCAGAAAGAACAACCAUGUGAUUAUUGGAUUAGGUGGUGGGACUCUGAGUCACCCUAACCACUAAAGAGACCAAGGGAGCUGGAGACAGGAGUUAAUCGUGUGGGCCGUGGUUUCGACAAUCAUCUCCAUGUAGUGAAGCACCAAGAAAAACUAGACACCAACGCUUCAGUGGGAGCUUCCUGGUUGGAGAACACGGUGGUGGGCCAGGACGCUAGUUCAUCUGGACUCAGUGAGCAGAGGAGACAGAAGCAAUUGGUCCCCUCCUGUCCUCUCUGCACCUCUUUCAGUAAUUUCCUGAGUUUUGUCCUCAACAAGAAAACUGCCCACAGGGAGAAGGUUUGCUGACUGUUGACAUGGCUCAUCAGAACUGAGGCAGUUAUGAGAACUUUGAAUUUUAAGUAGUGUUGGUCAGAUGUAGGGGUGGCAAGAGGGAUGAGAAACAAGACCUGCUCUAAUAGAUUCAAAAGAAGUGAAGGAAAUCAGGUUUUUUAUACCAUUCUGCAGAAAGAGACGCCAGCAUAGAAAAAAGGCAAAAAUGGUUACUUUGUGAUUCUCAAGUCCCUAAUGAUGAGAAAUUCCUGCUCUCUUUUUCCCAUUGGCUGGGAUUCCAGAGUUAGGAGUUCAUGCUCCUCUAGCACAGGCGUCUUCCCAAAUCCCCACCCUACUGCUUCAGUCAGCAAUGCCUCCCUAAUUGCUGUCCCGGUGUCUGUAAAUCAGGCUGGCCUCAGCUUUCAACUCUGGGACUACAGGCGCUCACUGUGUAUGGGCUCAGUUUUUUAUUGCUGUUGUGGCUCAUUAAGACAGGAGCUCAUGUAGCCCAGGUUAGCCUCAAACUUAGAGGCUAACAAACAAACAACAGAGGCUGACUUUGAACUCUGGUCUUUCCUGCCUCUAGCUUCUCAAGCAGAGGUUGUAGGUAUGGUAUACACCACCAUGAUGGUCUUUGAGAGGCUGGACCAGGUUGGGUGUGGCCUUAGGUACCAAAAAGUUCCUGCUUGAACUCCUGCCCUGACUGCUGUGAGUGAUGGACCUUGACCUGGAAGUUCCUGCUUGAACUCCUGCCCUGACUGCUGUGAGUGAUGGACCUUGACCUGGAAGUUCCUGCUUGAACUCCUGCCCUGACUGCUGUGAGUGAUGGACAAUGACCUGAAAGUUCCUGCUUGGACUCCUGCCCUGAGUGCUGUCAGUGAUAGACCGAGAUGAACCUGGAAGUGUAACCAAAUCA